rnacentral:rRNA from 1 species
AUUGAACGCUGGCGGCAGGCUUAACACAUGCAAGUCGAACGAGUGGCGGACGGGUGAGUAAUGCAUGGGAAUCUGGCUUAUGGAGGGGGAUAACUACGGGAAACUGUAGCUAAUACCGCGUACCAUAGGAUGAGCCCAAGUGGGAUUAGGUAGUUGGUGAGGUAAAGGCUCACCAAGCCGACGAUCCCUAGCUGGUCUGAGAGGAGGACCAGCCACACUGGGACUGAGACACGGCCCAGACUCCUACGGGAGGCAGCAGUGGGGAAUAUUGGGCAAUGGGGGAAACCUGACGCAGCCAUCCCGCGUGAAUGAAGAAGGCCUUCGGGUUGUAAAGUUCUUUCGGUAGAGAAGCGUUACCUACAGAAGAAGCACCGGCUAACUCCGUGCCAGCAGCCGCGGUAAUAC